rnacentral:rRNA from 1 species
UACGUAGGGGGCAAGCGUUGUCCGGAAUCAUUGGGCGUAAAGAGCGUGUAGGCGGCCAGAUAAGUCCGCUGUGAAAACUCGAGGCUCAACUUCGAGCUGUCGGUGGAAACUAUUUGGCUAGAGUCCGGAAGAGGAGAGUGGAAUUCCUGGUGUAGCGGUGAAAUGCGCAGAUAUCAGGAGGAACACCAAUGGCGAAGGCAGCUCGCUGGGACGUGACUGACGCUGAGACGCGAAAGCGUGGGGAGCAAACAGG